ACUAUUGAUGAAAGAUUUAAAGUGCUUAGACAAAUUAAUUGGGAAACACUGUCCAAAGAUCAUGCUGUGAAGGAGACUGCUUCUACUGUCUAAUUGAGAGAAUUCACCUUCACUAUGGUUUUGGACUUCACUUUAGAGGCUUCUUUUCAUGCUUUUUUUAUUUUUUUUGUGGAUUUUUUACAACAAAGAAAACUAAUUUUGUGAUUUACUGAGGGGUGUUUAGUCAGAGAAACAUUUGUUAUGAGUUCUAUUUUAAUUAGAAUUUUGAUAUAAGUCGAAGAUAAAAAAAUGAUCAUACCAUCAAGGUGAGUUAGGGUCACCUGACCUUUUUAUAAAGAGUGAAUUUAUUUUAUAUGUAAUAACUUCUUUUAUGAGGGAUGAAGAAAGAAACAAGUAAAAAAAGGGAUGUAUGUAUAGACGAAUGGGAAUUUAUUUUUUUUGGUAGAGGAAUGGGAAUUUUUUUUAUUCAAAGCUAAAAAUGAAUUAAUUAAAAAAUAAGUGUACAAAUAUAAAACCAUGCAGCUGAAAAAGUAUUCAAAUAUAUAAUAGAGUAAAAUUGUAGGGUAAGUAGGUGUUUUGCCCACACCAUUAGGGCGAGUUUUGUUUUGCUUUAUCC
rnacentral:lncRNA from 1 species